AAAGUCAAAUGAAAAGAGCAUGUUUAAUGUGAAACAAAUAUGUGAAAACUUCAACACGUGGAUGCAUACAUUUAGCAAACUCCAAGUUGAAGUGUGUUACCUGCUGCAAUUCCCCUCCCCCACCCCUCUGUUCGUGUGUAUGUGUGUGUGUGUGUUUGUGUUUUAAGCACCCAUCCCCCACUGUCAACUCACAGAAGCCUCAAGAGAGCUGCCCUGGGGUAGACUACGACUAUAACAAUAAUAUUAAAUUAGUUUGUAAAUGUAAUUCAAGUUUACAACACCUAUCAGGUUUCCCCUCACUUUUAUUUUACUUAAAAAAAUAAAUAAAUAUAUAUAUAUAUAUAUAGUAAUAAAAACAUGUUUGAUGGAUCAGGAAGCAUGUUGAAAACAUGCCUUAAGAUUGUGUUAAAACGCUAAAAAUCUCUGUUUUUAUAUCAAUUGUUUUUAUUAAUUAAUAAAUUAUAUAUAUAUAUAAUUUAUUUAUUUGUUUGGAGAUUAAAGUGCACCAUCAAAUAAAUCGGAUUUUCUAAAAAAAAAAAGUCAAAUGAAAAGAGCAUGUUUAAUGUGAAACAAAUAUGUGAAAACUUGAACACGUGGAUGCAUACAUUUAGCAAACUCCAAGUUGAAGUGUGUUACCUGCUGCAGCUCCCCUCCCCCACCCCUGUGUUCGUGUGUAUGUGUGUGUGUGUGUCUUGAGCACCCAUCCCCCACUGUCAACUCACAGACGCCUCGUGAGAGCUGCCCUGGGGUAGAGACUAUGACUAUGAUGACGACGACAAUAUAAAAUUAGUUUGUUAACGUAAUUCUAGUCUACAACACCUAUCAGGUUUCCCCUCACUUUUUUUUACUUUAAAAAUAUAUAUAUAUUUUUAUUUUAUAAUUAUUUUUUAUUAUAUAUAUAUUUAUUUAUUUACUUAUUUGGAGAUUAAAUUAAAGUGCACCAUAAUCAAAGAAAAUCAGGUUUUCUAAAAAAAAAAAAAGUCAAAUGAAAAGAGCAUGUUCAAUAUAAAACAAAUAUGUGAACACUUCAACACGUGGAUGCAUACAUUUUGCAAACUCCAAGUUGAACCUGCUGCAGUUUCCCUCCCCCACCCCUCUGUUCGUGUGUAUGUGUGUGUGUGUUAAGCACACAUCCCUCACAGCGCCUCAUUCAACUCAUGAACGCGCGGCAUUUGCAAACACGUGCUAAUGACGCAAUCAAUUGGAGACGCCUUUUCCCGCGAACUCAUCUCUCCAGGGAGAGCAGUCUUUAUAGGAAACAUGCCCUUUGUCUUCAUGCUGGGAGUAAGAAAAAACAGAAAGCGUAAAAUACCUCAAGAGGAUGCAGAACAUUACAUUUGUUGUAAAAGUGACAAACCUGCAAGUGCAAUUCAUCAACAAUUACAAAGGAGGAUGAGUUUUCACCACUGAAGCUUUAUUCAGAGGGGAUUUUGUUCUUGAGUACAAGUUUGGGUGCAUGGAUGCAUCGAAAGAAGAUGGGUCUUUAGGGAGACUUGUAAAUGAUGACCACAAAGCUCCUAACUGCAAAAUGAAAAUCAUAUCUUUGCUGUGUGCAACUUACUUCCAGGAGAAGAUAUAACCUACAAUUAUGGAGAUUCUGGUUAUGUCCCAUAAUGUUCUGUCUCCUCACCUGCUUUGGACAACGUGAAGAUGAGUGAUCCUCACAAACAAACUGAGCCACAACAGUCAGACAAAGCAAGAAGAUCAGGGAAUAAGACGGUAACCCUUUCAUUCAGGCACCAGGUAGCCUAUCUAGUGAUAUUUGCUGCUAAGUGAACAGGGCAGAGUAACCAGAACAAGGUAAGACAGACCCUUUGGCAGGUUUAUUUAAAAUGUAAUCUUGUUCUAACUAUAUAACAUCAUACAAUUGUGUCUUAAAGCAAUUUAUUUAAAGAUGAAAGGAUAGCUCAAUUAUGUAUUUUCACAUGCCAGAUAUUCUGGAGUUAAUUCAUACAGUAUGACCAAUAGUACACAUACAGAUUUUACUAUAAAAGAUUGGUUAAUUACUGGCAAGUGAUAGUUGGACUGCAUAGUUAAUCGUAAAAAGAUGGCGAUCUCGAUUCGAACCCCUGAACGUCGAUGCGUGAACGACAUUUAAAUGACCAUAUUGCAGUUUGGAGUUAUGUUUACUACAAGAUAGGGUUGUGCCGAUUGACACUAGUGUUGUGUAUCGAUGAUAGGGAGAGAUAUUACAGAGAGCUGAGGCCUGACUAUUUUAAAGAUGAUGUUUGGUUCGUUUCACAUUUAUGUAGACCUAUUACAUGUGUUAAAUUCAUUUUUAAAUAAAAGACUUAUUAUUAAUAUU